UGGAGUGUGGCUCAGUGGCAGAGCACUUGCCUAGCAUGUGUGAGGCACUGGGUUCAAUUCUCAGCGCUGCAU
rnacentral:tRNA from 1 species